AUCACACAUCGAGCUUUUGCAAUGGACCAGGCAUUGUAAUAGGCACUUGAGAAACAAGGAUAUUCCCAGUCCUCAAGGAUCUUCCCUUCUGGUUUGCGAGGAAAUGUGCUACAGUGUUCUCCGUGGCUGAGGGACGGCAAGCUUGCUGUCAGUUAAGGAGCCUCAGGUGUUGUGCCAUCUGCUGUGAAAUUCUUGGCUCCCUUGGAUUUAUCAGGCUAGAAGGAGGGGGAUGCAUAAGUGAGUAUGAAUUGGCUUUUCCGGAGAUGGCCUGGGACAUGGGAUAUUUAACCCACUUGUGUUUUCAUCCACACCUGAUCAAGCCCACUAAGGCAGAAUGGACUUUAAGGGAGAAACAGUCUUGGAC
ensembl:lncRNA